GAUGAACGCUGGCGGCGUGCCUAAUACAUGCAAGUCGAGCGAACGGACGAGAAGCUUGCUUCUCUGAUGUUAGCGGCGGACGGGUGAGUAACACGUGGAUAACCUACCUAUAAGACUGGGAUAACUUCGGGAAACCGGAGCUAAUACCGGAUGAUAUUUUGAACCGCAUGGUUCAAAAGUGAAAGACGGUCUUGCUGUCACUUAUAGAUGGAUCCGCGCUGCAUUAGCUAGUUGGUAAGGUAACGGCUUACCAAGGCAACGAUGCAUAGCCGACCUGAGAGGGUGAUCGGCCACGCUGGAACUGAGGCACGGUCCAGACUCCUGCGGGAGGCAGCAGUAGGGAAUCUUCCGCAAUGGGCGAAAGCCUGACGGAGCAACGCCGCGUGAGUGAUGAAGGUCUUCGGAUCGUAAAACUCUGUUAUUAGGGAAGAACAUAUGUGUAAGUAACUGUGCACAUCUUGACGGUACCUAAUCAGAAAGCCACGGCUAACUACGUG
rnacentral:rRNA from 1 species